UUCCAUCAAGUUUAAGCUUCCGUGGGCACCACCGCUACAGCUAAACAACAGGGAGUGCUUCAUUUCUAUUUGUCAUUGGUUUAUAAUACUGCUUCAUUUAAAAUUGCAUUGAUUAAAUUUUUGUGAUGUUGUUAUUCUAACAAUAUACCUAAAGUCACGUAACUGAAUCCGUUGAUUUCGUCAAAACUCUAUUUUACCCCACUUAUAUUACAUGAUUAGGUUUUGACUAGCAUUUGAUUUGUGCUUUAUUAUUUUACAUAGAUCAGCAGUAUUAGCUUGCCCUAUUUGAAUUUACUUAUCCCUGAAAAAAAAUGCUUAAUUUGUUAUUUUUCACUGCUUGCAUUUAUUGUUCAUUGAUCUCAUCAUUGCACGUCAUUUAGCUGGUAUUACAUUGCAUGUAGUUGCGUAGUGGUCGUCUUAUUGUCUCUAUUUCCAAUACAUUGACCAUGGAUCCAUCCCAAUUUGAUNACAAACGGUCACCACCACCAUAUCAUUAUCCCAUAACCUAUUAACCAGUAAAUCUCAAUACCCACUAACGCAGAAGCCACUAAUCGCUUUUUUUCCUCUUACCCAUAUAGUCAACACGUAGCCCAGGAUUUCAAGACUGAUUUGAGGUUCCAGAGCCACGCGGUGCUCGCACUUCAGGAGGCUGCUGAGGCAUACCUUGUGGGUCUCUUCGAGGACACCAAUCUGUGCGCAAUUCAUGCCAAGAGGGUUACUAUAAUGCCCAAGGACAUUCAGCUUGCUAGACGUAUCCGUAGUGAACGCGCAUAAGUCUCCACUGAGUUAAUUUAGAUUAUUAAUUACUAUGAUAGACUUAUGAUGAGGCGACGCUAAUGAGAUGGGUGAACGACAAUGACCAUAUAGUCCAUACGUUCCACGACCACCCUCACCGCCAAUCGCCAGCAACCCACUGCCACGCCAGUUGUCAUCCACCACCCGGAGUUCAGUUUUUGCUUUAGUUUUCACGUCGAUGGACUUCUUCUGAGUUCAGAGUGUCAGGGACAUUUGUUGAAUUAGAUUUAGCCUAUUAUUUGCAUUGGGGUAGCUUGUUAAAACUCUUGAGUAUUAGUGUUCCAUUCAGUGACUCGACUACUUAGGAGUAUUUCAUUAUAAUUUUCUACUGGACACGUGCCAACUGGGAAAUCAUAAUUGGGCACAGUUCUUAUUCUUUGGGUUCCAUCAAGUUUAAGCUUCCGUGGGCACCACCGCUACAGCUAAACAACAGGGAGUGCUUCAUUUCUAUUUGUCAUUGGUUUAUAAUACUGCUUCAUUUAAAAUUGCAUUGAUUAAAUUUUUGUGAUGUUGUUAUUCUAACAAUAUACCUAAAGUCACGUAACUGAAUCCGUUGAUUUCGUCAAAACUCUAUUUUACCCCACUUAUAUUACAUGAUUAGGUUUUGACUAGCAUUUGAUUUGUGCUUUAUUAUUUUACAUAGAU
rnacentral:lncRNA from 1 species